AGAGCUUGCUUUGUUCCGAUCAGUGGCGAACGGGUGAGUAACACGUGAGUAACCUGCCCCAGACUCUGGAAUAGGCGCUGGAAACGGCGUCUAAUACCGGAUACGAAACGAAGCUGCAUGGCUAUCGUUUGGAAAGUUUUUCGGUUUGGGAUGGACUCGCGGCCUAUCAGCUUGUUGGUGAGGUAAUGGCUCACCAAGGCGACGACGGGUAGCCGGCCUGAGAGGGCGACCGGCCACACUGGGACUGAGACACGGCCCAGACUCCUACGGGAGGCAGCAGUGGGGAAUAUUGCACAAUGGGCGAAAGCCUGAUGCAGCGACGCCGCGUGAGGGAUGACGGCCUUCGGGUUGUAAACCUCUUUCAGCAGGGAAGAAGCGCAAGUGACGGUACCUGCAGAAGAAGCACCGGCUAACUACGUGCCAGCAGCCGCGGUAAUACGUAGGGUGCUGAGCGUUGUCCGGAAUUAUUGGGCGUAAAGAGCUUGUAGGCGGUUUGUCGCGUCUGCCGUGAAAAUUCGAGGCUCAACCUCGAACUUGCGGUGGGUACGGGCAGACUAGAGUGUGGUAGGGGAGACUGGAAUUCCUGGGUGUAGCGGUGAAAUGCGCAGAUAUCAGGAGGAACACGAUGGCGAAGGCAGGUCUCUGGCCACUACUGACGCUGA
rnacentral:rRNA from 1 species